rnacentral:tRNA from 1 species
GGGGGGUUAGCUCAGCUGGUUAGAGCACUUGCUUCACACGCAAGGGGUCGGUGGUUCGAGUCCACUAUCUCCCACCA